GAUGAACGCUGGCGGCGUGCCUAAUACAUGCAAGUCGAGCGAACAGACGAGGAGCUUGCUCCUCUGACGUUAGCGGCGGACGGGUGAGUAACACGUGGAUAACCUACCUAUAAGACUGGGAUAACUUCGGGAAACCGGAGCUAAUACCGGAUAAUAUAUUGAACCGCAUGGUUCAAUAGUGAAAGACGGUUUUGCUGUCACUUAUAGAUGGAUCCGCGCCGCAUUAGCUAGUUGGUAAGGUAACGGCUUACCGAGGCAACGAUGCGUAGCCGACCUGAGAGGGUGAUCGGCCACACUGGAACUGAGACACGGUCCAGACUCCUACGGGAGGCAGCAGUAGGGAAUCUUCCGCAAUGGGCGAAAGCCUGACGGAGCAACGCCGCGUGAGUGAUGAAGGUCUUCGGAUCGUAAAACUCUGUUAUUAGGGAAGAACAAAUGUGUAAGUAACUAUGCACGGCUUGACGGUACCUAAUCAGAAAGCCACGGCUAACUACGUG
rnacentral:rRNA from 1 species